rnacentral:rRNA from 1 species
AAUGCACGCAGGUGCGAUGGGGGGACUCCGAGUGCAGUCUUCCAAAACGGAAGGCCGCUUUUCUGCACUUUAAGCAGGUGCCGAAACAAGGGGUGGGCAAGACGGCUGCCAGCCGCCGCGGUAAUAGCCGCACCCCGAGUGGUAGUCAUUGUUAUUGGGCUUAAAGUGUUCGUAGCCGGACAUACAAGUCUGCUGUGAAAUCCAUGCGCUUAACGUAUGGACAUGCAGCGGAUACUGUGUGUCUAGGAACCGGACGGCGUCGAGGCUAUUCCCGGGGUAGGGGUGAAAUCCUAAAAUCCUGGGAGGAGCACCUGUGGCGAAAGCGCUCGACGAGUACGGAUUCGACGGUGAGGAACGAAAGCCAGUGGAGCAAAGCGGAUUAGAUACCCGCGUAGUACUGGCUGUAAACAUUGUGCGUUUGAUGUCGGACAACCUCCGAGGUUGUCCGGUGCCGAAGUGAAAACGUUAAACGCACCGCCUGGGGAGUACGGUCGCAAGGCUGAAACUUAAAGGAAUUGGCGGGGGAGCACAGUCAU